rnacentral:rRNA from 1 species
AGUUUGAUCAUGGCUCAGAACGAACGCUGGCGGCAGGCCUAACACAUGCAAGUCGAGCGCUACCUUCGGGUGGAGCGGCGGACGGGUUAGUAACGCGUGGGAACGUACCCAGAUCUAAGGAAUAGCCACUGGAAACGGUGAGUAAUACCUUAUACGCCCUUCGGGGGAAAGAUUUAUCGGAUUUGGAUCGGCCCGCGUUAGAUUAGAUAGUUGGUGGGGUAAUGGCCUACCAAGUCUACGAUCUAUAGCUGGUUUUAGAGGAUGAUCAGCAACACUGGGACUGAGACACGGCCCAGACUCCUACGGGAGGCAGCAGUGGGGAAUCUUGGACAAUGGGCGCAAGCCUGAUCCAGCCAUGCCGCGUGAGUGAUGAAGGCCUUAGGGUCGUAAAGCUCUUUCGCCAGAGAUGAUAAUGACAGUAUCUGGUAAAGAAACCCCGGCUAACUCCGUGCCAGCAGCCGCGGUAAUACGGAGGGGGUUAGCGUUGUUCGGAAUUACUGGGCGUAAAGCGUACGUAGGCGGAUUAGUCAGUCAGAGGUGAAAUCCCAGGGCUCAACCCUGGAACUGCCUUUGAUACUGCUAGUCUUGAGUUCGAGAGAGGUGAGUGGAAAUUCCAAGUGUAGAGGUGAAAUUCGUAGAUAUUUGGAGGAAACACCAGUGGCGAAGGCGGCUCACUGGCUCGAUACUGACGCUGAGGUACGAAAGUGUGGGGAGCAAACAGG